GUGAGGAAUAUUGCACAAUGGGGGGAACCCUGAUGCAGCAACGCCGCGUGGAGGAUGACGCAUUUCGGUGUGUAAACUCCUUUUAUAUGUCAAGAAAAUGACGGUAGCAUAUGAAUAAGCACCGGCUAACUCCGUGCCAGCAGCCGCGGUAAUACGGAGGGUGCAAGCGUUACUCGGAAUCACUGGGCGUAAAGGACGCGUAGGCUGGCUGACAAGUCAGAUGUGAAAUCCUAUGGCUUAACCAUAGAACUGCAUUUGAAACUGUCAGUCUAGAGUAUGGGAGGGGGAGAUGGAAUUAGUGGUGUAGGGGUAAAAUCCGUAGAUAUCACUAGGAAUACCUAAAGCGAAGGCGAUCUCCUGGAACAUUACUGACGCUAAGGCGUGAAAGCGUGGGGAGCAAACAGGAUUAGAAACCCCAGUAGUCC
rnacentral:rRNA from 1 species